ensembl:lncRNA novel transcript
CAGUGGUUCUCAGAAUCACCUGGAAGCUGGUUAAAACCCAGUUUGCUGGACCCACCCUCAGAAUCCCUAACUCAGCAGCUUUGAAGUGGGCCAAGAAUUUGCACCAAGUCUCCAAGGGAUGCUGGUGCCUUUGAUCCAGGGACCACACUGCUCAAGAGGCACUCAUCACAGGAGUAGUCAACUCAUCUCCAUGGAGCAUGUGUUCCCCGCAAGCCCAUACUCUUCCUGAGGGGGAAGUGCUCUAGGAAGGAAGAUCCAAAGGAAAGGAGAAAGGAAAAAAGAGAAGAAAAGAAGGGGGAAAGGGAAGGAGCUCUCUUCACAAAACAAGACUUUUUGGUAGUGCCUAGGGGUAUCCUUGUGCCUCUGCUUCAGUGUUCAAAGCUGUCCUUUGUGAUAACACUGGGCCAGGAGGAGAAUCCAAGAUCAUCUCCUCAUCUCAAGAUCCUUGACUUGAUCACUUCUGCAGAGUGCCUUUGCCAUGGUCUCCAGCUUGCAGAAAAUUCCAUGUCUUUUAAGGAUAUGUGCUGAAAUAUUUAGAGAAGAAAUGAUAUGAUGUCUUAGAUUUGCUUCAAAAUAAUCCAGUUGUGGAGAGAUGGCUAGGCAAGACAAUCCAUGGACUUAAUCCCAGGAAGACCUGCAGGUAGGAGCCUCGAGAUACGGUAAAGUUUGAGAGCUCAUCAGUAUUCCAUGGAAGAGGAAGAUCUGUCUUGACAUAUAGAG